CCUACGGGUGGCAGCAGUGGGGAAUAUUGGUCAAUGGGCGCUACCCUGAACCAGCGACGUAGCGUGAAGGAUGACUGCCCUAUGGGUUGUAAACUUCUUUUAUAUGGGAGUAAAGUGCAGUAUGUAUACUACUUUCCAUGUACCUUAUGAAUCAGGCUCGGGUAACUCCGUGCCAGCAGCCGCGGUAAUACGGAGGAAGCGAGCGUUAUCCGGAUUUAUUGGGUGUAACGGGUGCGUAGUUUGAUUUGUAAGUCAGCGGUGAAAGUUUGUGGCUCAACCAUAAGAUUGCCGUUGAAACUGGAAGACUUGAGUGUGUUAGAGGUAGGCGGAAUGCGUGGUGUAGCGGUGAAAUGCAUAGAUAUCACGCAGAACUCCGAUUGCGAAGGCAGCUUACUAAGCCAUAACUGACGCUGAAGCACGAAAGCGUGGGGAGCAAACAGGAUUAGAUACCCUUGUAGUC
rnacentral:rRNA from 1 species